CCUACGGGUGGCAGCAGUGAGGAAUAUUGGUCAAUGGACGAGAGUCUGAACCAGCCAAGUAGCGUGAAGGAUGACUGCCCUAUGGGUUGUAAACUUCUUUUAUAUGGGAGUAAAACAGGUUAUGCAUACCCUCUUGUAUUGACCAUGUGAAUAAGGAACGGCUAACUCCGUUCCAGCACCCGCGGUAAUACGGAGGAUACGAGCGUUAUCCGGAUUGAUUGGGUUUAAAGGGUGCGUAGGCGGAAGGUUAAGUCAGCGGUAAAAUGUCGGGGCUAAACACCGGCCUGCCGUUGAAACUGGUAUUCUUGAGUGAGCGAGAAGUAUGCGGAAUGCGUGGUGUAGCGGUGAAAUGCAUAGAUAUCACGCAGAACUCCGAUUGCGAAGGCAGCAUACCGGCGCUCAACUGACGCUGAGGCACGAAAGCGUGGGGAUCGAACAGGAUUAGAUACCCGUGUAGUC
rnacentral:rRNA from 1 species